GGCUUUAUAUUCAAUUAUGAUUUUAGACUGCAAUUCUAGAGGUGUAAAUAAUUUUACUAAGGCCU
rnacentral:tRNA from 8 species